UCCGAAGUGAGUCUUCACAUAUUACUGGG
rnacentral:piRNA from 1 species